rnacentral:rRNA from 1 species
UAAUACAGAGGGUGCAAGCGUUAAUCGGAUUUACUGGGCGUAAAGCGUGCGUAGGUGGUCGCGUAAGUCGGUUGUGAAAUCCCUGGGCUCAACCUGGGAAUUGCUUCCGAUACUGCGUGACUAGAGUUCGGUAGAGGGUGGCGGAACUCCCGGUGUAGCGGUGAAAUGCGUAGAUAUCGGGAAGAACACCGAUGGCGAAGGCAACCACCUGGGCCUGAACUGACACUGAGGCACGAAAGCGUGGGGAGCAAACAGGAUUAGAUACCCUGGUAGUCCACGCUGUAAACGAUGGAAACUUGACGUCGGUUUGCUCUGCGAAUCGGUGUCGAAGCUAACGCGCUAAGUUUCCCGCCUGGGGAGUACGGCCGCAAGGUUG